GUAAAGCGGUAUAGCAACUUCACCACAGCCUGAUAACAACGUUUCCUGAUGGCCUAUAAAUUGCAGUUUAUAGCCCUAUACAUCAUCUGAUAAGUAGGUAGUUAAGAUAAACUAAUGCUUUAAAUUUUGAGUUGCAAUCAGUCUCUUUUGAGCUCUUUGACAAGAUUACAGAAAGCAUACACACAGAGGUCAAUACAAGUGAGAACAAAGGUUGUUUGAUACUGCAACUUGAGGGAACAAAAGUAGUAAAAUGGCCGAAGGUCGUUCUCAUCAUCAUGGGCUUUUUCAAGAAUUUAUUGACGGCAGUCUGAAAGACGAAGAUGGCAAAAUAGUUACUGUAACCCCAACUGAGAAGAAACGGUUUUAUAAAGUUAUUAACGAAGAUAAAUAUACAGUCACUGCUUUCUGCAAACUGACCUUCAACAAAAAACACAAGAAAAAAGACAAGGUUGACCCAGGGAAAGAUUACGGCUUUAAAAAAUCUACUAAGGAUGGAACACAUGCCGAGGAAUUUGUUAUUGAAAAAAUCAAGAAGAUCAUUGGCGUAGAUCAAUCACUGAAAUCCCUCUCACUUGUGAUGAACAUCAGCCUAACCCCAUGCAAAAAUUGUCGAGACUUGCUCAAGGACUAUUUAAAAUAUUUAAAAUGCGAGACUAUAACAUUCGUACUACGAUUUGCCUACAUCUACGACACUGAGCUACGUUCACAUGAAGAAAGGAUUAAGGCAAUUUCCAAAUGGAUGGUUGAUUUAAAUGAUAUAUCCGAAGUCACUGCUUCAAUGGAAGCUAUCGAAGUAGCCAGAGAACUAGAUUAUUUAUCUAAAGAAGAAAAGGAUGCUAUUGCUAGGCAGGAAGACGAAGGUGAACAUAAAGUUAAUAGGGAAAAACAUGCUGAGGAGAUCAAAAUCGCUAUAGAAAAGAGAAAACUAGCAAGGGAUACAAAACUAGCAAGGGAUACAAAACUAGCAACGGAGAAACUAGCAGCAUUAAAGGUGAAAGACAAAAGCUAGCAGUUUAGAACAAGAGCAUUAAUGCUUGGUGUGUGUUAAUUAUGAGUACACCUACGUAUAAUAGCUAGAUAAAAAACAAUACCAAUAGUUUGCAACGCUAUUAAUGGAUAAUUUUUUGCUGCUCUAAA